CAGCAGCCGCGGUAAAACGUAGGGUGCAAGCGUUAAUCGGAAUUACUGGGCGUAAAGCGUGCGCAGGCGGUUAUAUAAGACAGAUGUGAAAUCCCCGGGCUCAACCUGGGAACUGCAUUUGUGACUGUAUAGCUAGAGUACGGCAGAGGGGGAUGGAAUUCCGCGUGUAGCAGUGAAAUGCGUAGAUAUGCGGAGGAACACCGAUGGCGAAGGCAAUCCCCUGGGCCUGUACUGACGCUCAUGCACGAAAGCGUGGGGAGCAAACAGGAUUAGAUACCCCUGUAGUCCCUGUCUCUUAUAU
rnacentral:rRNA from 1 species